rnacentral:rRNA from 1 species
GUGGGGAAUAUUGGACAAUGGGCGAAAGCCUGAUCCAGCCAUGCCGCGUGAGUGAUGAAGGCCUUAGGGUUGUAAAGCUCUUUCGCCGAGGACGAUAAUGACGGUACUCGGAUAAGAAGCCCCGGCUAACUUCGUGCCAGCAGCCGCGGUAAUACGAAGGGGGCUUGCGUUGUUCGGAAUUACUGGGCGUAAAGCGUAUGUAGGCGGGUCGUUAAGUUAGGGGUGAAAUCCCAAGGCUCAACCUUGGAACUGCCCUUGAUACUGGCGAUCUUGAGUCCGGGAGAGGUGAGUGGAACUGCGAGUGUAGAGGUGAAAUUCGUAGAUAUUCGCAAGAACACCAGUGGCGAAGGCGGCUCACUGGCCCGGUACUGACGCUGAGAUACGAAAGCGUGGGGAGCAAACAGGAUUAGAAACCCCUGUAGUCC